rnacentral:lncRNA from 1 species
UUAAUUAUUACCGAUAAAACAGCCCUAGCUCAAUUUAGAGACCAAACAUGGUUACCGGAAGCCUCAAAAAUAAUUACUUGUCACAUAUCCUCUAUUAUCUAUGUCUCUAAGCUUUGAUCCAAUGAUCUUACUUCUCUGGAUUUGGAUUCCCUAGUUUUCAUAGAUAAUACAUAGAGUAGACAGAGUAACUUACCUACCCUCGUUUGCCGUUUAACUACUUAAAUAUUGGUGUAGCUUGCUUUUACCGGCCUUAUUUUCACAGAACAAAAACGCCAAAGCGAACGUACUAAGUAACAUUUAAGAGGCUGUCCUAACAAGAUAAUAAUCAACAAUGGAAACAUUCCAACAAAUGUUCAAUGAAAUCUCGAAUUUGGGUAUUAGUUCAUCACGUCAUAAUAUUAUAAUAACUCAUAUCAUUGACCCAGGAAACUUCUUUGUGCGCCAAGAUAUAUAUACACCAUUAAUUGAAAAUAUUGAAAAUAUGAAGCAUUUAGUCAAACUUACUAAAGUGAAAAUAGAUCAAAUGAUUAUUUUUGAAUUUAAAUCUGCAAAAGGAACUAAAUAUGCACGUGGUCAAAUAAUAACUGCUAUUA